UCAGUUUUUAUAUGCAUUUAAUAUUUUUAAAAAUAGUUCAAAAGCUGUCAAAAUAAAAUGGUGAAUUGAGUUUAAACCAGAAAAGAUAUAAACGUAAUCUUUGGGAUUCAACUUGUAAGGAUGUUCCAAGAACCACUUAGUUGGAGAAGGAAAACUGUGCCGUUCAUUAACAAGUCCUGUGCUUUAUAAUAUAUUAAAAAAUGGAAGGACGUGAAGAAAACAGGCAGGAAUGUUUGACUGGAAAUAUAAACGAUGUUGUACAUAAUGCAGAUAGCUUAGGCAAAAAAGAGGUAACAAUCUAAUAAUUUGUAUUUAUAAAUAAUGAUAUAUUCAUUGCUACUUUUGAUGAAUAUUAAUAUGUGAAUGGUACUUUGUUUAACAUCUACCUGUUUCUACAGAUACAGUACAGACACAUUUAUAAAUGGGCUUGAUGUUUUUUUGAAUUAAAUAUGUUGUAUUGAUGGUUCUUUUUAACUUGUUAAAACU